AGGACUCAGAGACUGGGAUCAUGACUCAUGGGACCCUCCUUUUACUCCUCUCGGAGGCCCUAGCCCUUACCGAGACCUGGGCGGGUGAGUGCGGGGUCGGGAUGGAAACCGCCUCUACCGGGAGUAGAGAGGGGCCGCCCCGGCGGGGACGCAGGACUCAGGGACCCGCGCCCGUAGGAGGGUCGGGCCGAUCUCAGCCCCUCCUUGCCCCCAGGCUCCCACUCCUUGAAGUAUUUCCACACUUCCGUGUCCCGGCCCGGCCGCGGGGAGCCCCGCUUCAUCUCUGUGGGCUACGUGGACGACACCCAGUUCGUGCGCUUUGACAACGACGCCGCGAGUCCGAGGAUGGUGCCGCGGGCGCAGUGGAUGGAGCAGGAGGGGCCAGAGUAUUGGGACCGGGAGACACGGAGCGCCAGGGACACCGCACAGACUUUCCGAGUGAACCUGCGGACCCUGCGCGGCUACUACAAUCAGACCGAGGCCGGGUCUCACACCCUGCAGUGGAUGCAUGGCUGCGACCUGGGGCCCGACGGGCGCUUCCUCCGCGGGUAUGAACAGUUCGCCUACGACGGCAAGGAUUAUCUCACCCUGAAUGAGGACCUGCGCUCCUGGACCGCGGUGGACACGGCGGCUCAGAUCUCCGAGCGAAAGUCAAAUGAUGCCUGUGAGGCGGAGCACCAGAGAGCCUACCUGGAAGACACAUGCGUGGAGUGGCUCCGCAAAUACCUGGAGAAGGGGAAGGAGACGCUGCUUCACCUGGAUCCCCCAAAGACACAUGUGACCCACCACCGCAUCUCUGACCAUGAGGCCACCCUGAGGUGCUGGGCCCUGGGCUUCUACCCUGCGGAGAUCACACUGACCUGGCAGCGGGAUGGGGAGGACCAGAACCAGUACACAGAGCUUGUGG
rnacentral:sRNA from 1 species